UACGUAGGGUGCAAGCGUUAAUCGGAAUUACUGGGCGUAAAGCGUGCGCAGGCGGUGAUGUAAGACAGUUGUGAAAUCCCCGGGCUCAACCUGGGAACUGCAUCUGUGACUGCAUCGCUGGAGUGCGGCAGAGGGGGAUGGAAUUCCGCGUGUAGCAGUGAAAUGCGUAGAUAUGCGGAGGAACACCGGUGGCGAAGGCGGUCCGCUGGGGUGUUGCUGACGCUGAGGCGCGACAGCGUGGGGAGCAAACAGG
rnacentral:rRNA from 1 species